CCUACGGGAGGCAGCAGUGAGGAAUAUUGGUCAAUGGACGAGAGUCUGAACCAGCCAAGCAGCGUGAAGGAUGACUGCCCCAUGGGUUGUAAACUUCUUUUAUAUGGGAAUAAAAUGUUCCACGUGUGGGUUUUUGUAUGUACCAUAUGAAUAAGGAUCGGCUAACUCCGUGCCAGCAGCCGCGGUAAUACGGAGGAUCCGAGCGUUAUCCGGAUUUAUUGGGUUUAAAGGGAGCGUAGGUGGAUUGUUAAGUCAGUUGUGAAAGUUUGCGGCUCAACCGUAAAAUUGCAGUUGAAACUGGCAGUCUUGAGUACAGUAGAGGUGGGCGGAAUUCGUGGUGUAGCGGUGAAAUGCUUAGAUAUCGCGAAGAACUCCGAUUGCGAAGGCAGCUCACUGGACUGCAACUGACACUGAGGCUCGAAAGUGUGGGUAUCAAACAGGAUUAGAUACCCGAGUAGUC
rnacentral:rRNA from 1 species